rnacentral:rRNA from 1 species
CGUAGGGUGAACCUGCGGAGGGAUCAUU